AAUGAAUCGAUGCUUGCACUAUUAAGAUGAAACAACACCCUGCAUACAAAGUUCAUAAAUCUAGUUUUCUUUAACUUAUAGAUUGGUUUAUCUCCAAAAUAUAGUUUUGUGACAAACGUCCACAUGUAUAUCCACCUCCGUGAUAAAACACUUGUGCGGACUGCAUCUUCAAUACGAAGAAAAGAAAGAAUGUGGGCAAUGAUAAAGACAGGUAGGUUGCUUAUGAUAUCUUGACCAGCACUGGAUAUUUGCAUCCUCUUGGAAGGCUCAUUCUCAUGUCUAUCAGAUGCAGUAAGAAGACAAGAGUUCAUGCUUG
rnacentral:lncRNA from 1 species